rnacentral:rRNA from 1 species
CUGCCGAAGCAACUAGCCUGAAAAUGGAUGGCGCUAUAGCGUCGUGCCUAUGCCGGACCGUCAACGGCACAGUGGGACCGCCGCCCCGCGCCUAGCGGCCGGGGGGCGUCCGUUACGCCUUGACGAGUAGGAUGGUCGCGGCGGUGUGCGCAGAAGGGUCGGGGCGCGAGCCCGCCUGGAGCCGCCGUCGGCGCAGAUCUUGGUGGUAGUAGCAAAUACUCUAGCGAGGACCUGGAGGGCUGAUGUGGAGAAGGGUUUCUUGUGAACAGCCGUUGCACAAGAGUCAGUCGACCCUAAGCCCUAGGAGAAAUCCGAUGUCGAUGGAGCAGAGAAUAACGGACCGAGCAGCGCGCAGCGUGACGCCUUCCUGGUCCGCGCACCCCCCUCGGCGUACGCUUGAACGCCAGCCGGGCGGGGUCCGGCCGUAGGUGGAGGCGCCGGCGCCAGCCUCGCGUUAUUACUGACGCAGCCGCUCCUGUUCGGGCGAAAGGGAAUCCGGUUCCUAUUCCGGAACCCGGCAGCGGAACCGUCACUUCGCGGGCACUCGCCUGCGAGCGCUCGUCGGGGUAACCCAAAGUGGCCCGGAGACGCCGGCGGGAGGUCUGGAAAGAGUUUUCUUUUCUUUAUAAGCGUUCGAGUUCCCUGGAAUCCUAUAGCAGGGAGAUAGGGUUUGGAACGCGAAGAGCACCGCAGUUGCGGCGGUGUCCGGACCUUCCCCCCGGACCUUGAAAAUCCGGGUGAGGGCUACGCGGAAAUGUCGCGCCGGAUCGUACCCAUAUCCGCAGCAGGUCUCCAAGGUUAAGAGCCUCUAGCCGAUAGAAUAAUGUAGGUAAGGGAAGUCGGCAAAUUGGAUCCGUAUCUUCGGAACAAGGAUUGGCUCUGAGGAUCGGGGCGCGUCGGGCUUGGUCGGGAAGCGGCUUUGCGCCAACGUGCCGGGCCUGGGCGAGGGGAAACGGGUCGCUAUCAGCGGCUCCGGCGAUCCGAGCUCGGUCCCGUGCCUUGGCCUCCCGCGGAUCUUCCUUGCUGCGGGGUGUCCGUCGCACACGGCCGCCGGGCCCCGUCCCUAACCGGCGGGCCCGCGGUCGCGCGGAUUUCUAAAUCCCUUCGGCCGCCAUUUAACGAUCAACUCAGAACUGGCACGGACCAGGGGAAUCCGACUGUCUAAUUAAAGCAAAGCAUUGCGAUGGCCCCAGCUGGGUGUUUACGCAAUGUGAUUUCUGCCCAGUGCUCUGAAUGUCAACGUGAAGAGAUUCAAGCAAGCGCGGGUAAACGGCGGGAGUAACUAUGACUCUCUUAAGGUAGCCAAAUGCCUCGUCAUCCAAUUAGUGACGCGCAUGAAUGGAUUAACGAGAUUCUCUCUGUCCCUAUCUACUAUCUAGCGAAACCACUGCCAAGGGAACGGGCUUGGAAAAAUUCAGCGGGGAAAGAAGACCCUGUUGAGCUUGACUCUAGUCUGGCACUGUAAGGAGACAUGAGAGGUGUAGCAUAAGUGGGAGGCGUGCGCAAGCGCUACCGAAAUAUGAAAUACCACUACUUUCAUCGUUUCCUUACUUACUCGGACAGGCGGAAAGCGCGUCCGUCGGAGGCAUUCCACCCCGGCGGAACGGUGUUCUCGCGCCAAGCGUCCGAGGGUUGCCGGCGGCCGGCCGGUUGGCGCCGGGUUUCGGGCGAAGCGUCCUUCCUUUAGGGGUCGGUCGCCCAGCUCGGGCCCGCGUUUUUCACCGGCCGUUUCCUUCCGGCAAACACUCCCUCGCGUGAUCCGAUUCGAGGACACAGCCAGGCGGGGAGUUUGACUGGGGCGGUACAUCUGUCAAAUGAUAACGCAGGUGUCCUAAGGCCAGCUCAGCGAGGACAGAAACCUCGCGUAGAGCAAAAGGGCAAAUGCUGGUUUGAUCCCGAUGUCCAGUACGCAUAGGGACUGC